CCUACGGGUGGCAGCAGUGAGGAAUAUUGGUCAAUGGCCGGAAGGCUGAACCAGCCAAGCCGCGUGAAGGACGAAGGUGCCAAGCAUUGUAAACUUCUUUUGUCAAGGGACAAAAUCAGGCUCGAGAGCCUGACCGAGGGUCCUUGAAGAAAAAGCAUCGGCUAACUCCGUGCCGGCAGCCACGGUAAUACGGAGGAGGCGAGCGUUAUCCGGUUGUAUGGGGUUUAACGGGUGCGUAGGCGGGCUGUUAAGUCAGCGGUAAAAGCCCGGGGCUCAACCCCGGCGAGCCGUUGAAACUGGCUGGCUUGAGAUGUCGAGAGGUAUGCGGAAUGCGCAGUGUAGCGGUGAAAUGCUUAGAUAUUGCGCAGAACUCCGAUUGCGAAGGCAGCAUACCGGCGGCGAUCUGACGCUGAGGCACGAAAGCGUGGGUAUCGAACAGGAUUAGAGACCCCUGUAGUC
rnacentral:rRNA from 1 species